rnacentral:rRNA from 1 species
UACCCGCAGCACAAGUGGUGGUCAUUAUUAUUGGGCCUAAAGCGUCCGUAGCAGGCUUGUUAGGUGCCUGGGUAAAUCGAUGCGCUCAACGUAUCGAAUUCCGGGUAGACGGGCAAGCUCGAGACCGGGAGAGGUGUAGGCUACUCGAGGGGUAGGGGUAAAAUCCUGUAAUCCUUCGGGGAGGACCAGUGGCGAAGGCGCUACACUAGAACGGCUCUGACUGUGAGGGACGAAGCCCUGGGGCGCAAACCGG